AGAGUUUGAUUCUGGCUCAGGACGAACGCUGGCGGCAUGCCUAACACAUGCAAGUCGAACGGAGCCAUGGUAUGGAUCUCUUCGGAGUGACGUACCGGAAGCUUAGUGGCAGACGGGUGAGUAACACGUGAGCAACCUGCCCUAUAGAGGGGAAUAACACACCGAAAGGUGUGCUAAUACCGCAUAAGUAUGAUUAUCGCAUGGUAGACAUAUGAAAGAUUUAUCGCUAUAGGAUGGGCUCGCGGCUGAUUAGUUAGUUGGUGGGGUAACGGCCUACCAAGACGACGAUCAGUAGCCGGACUGAGAGGUUGAACGGCCACAUUGGGACUGAGACACGGCCCAG
rnacentral:rRNA from 1 species